rnacentral:rRNA from 1 species
GGAAGAAAGCAGGGGCUCGUAAGACCUUGCGCUAUUAGAUGAGCCUGCGUCCGAUUAGCUAGUUGGUGGGGUAAAGGCCUACCAAGGCGACGAUCGGUAACUGGUCUGAGAGGAUGAUCAGUCACACUGGAACUGAGACACGGUCCAGACUCCUACGGGAGGCAGCAGUGGGGAAUAUUGGACAAUGGGGGCAACCCUGAUCCAGCCAUGCCGCGUGUGUGAAGAAGGCCUUCGGGUUGUAAAGCACUUUAAGCGGGGAGGAAGGCUCGAUGGCUAAUAUCCAUCGGGAUUGACGUUACCCGCAGAAUAAGCACCGGCAAACUUCGUGCCAGCAGCCGCGGUAAUACGAAGGGUGCGAGCGUUAAUCGGAAUUACUGGGCGUAAAGCGCGCGUAGGUGGUUUGGUAAGCGAUAUGUGAAAUCCCCGGGCUCAACCUGGGAACUGCAUGUCGAACUGUCA